GGAGUUAAGCCGAGUUUAUUCCCAAAGAUCCGUGCUCAAGAAGAAAGUCAUGAUGGCCAAUUUGGAAAAUCAAGCCAAAAUUUUGGAGGAUCACAUGGCUAGACUUGAACAAGAAGAGGCUUUCUACCAAAAUGAGAAGCAACACAUGAAGGUGGAAGAACAAAGAUUGUACCAAGAAAUUGAAGUUUUUGAGAAACAAAGAUUGCUCAGACAUGCCGAAGAUGAAAAUAACAUGGGGAAAGCAACUAGGAUGAGGGAAUAACUCCAAGUUAAGAAAGAUGAGCAAGUGGAUUCUUG